rnacentral:rRNA from 1 species
GAGUGCAGGCGGUUUUCGUUAAGUCUGAUGUGAAAGACCUUCGGCGUUAACCGGUACGAAGUAGCAUCGGAAACUAGGAUAACUUAGAGUGCAGAAGAGGGUAGUGGAACUCCAUGUGUAGCGGUGGAAUGCGUAGAUAUAUGGAAGAACACCAGUGGCGAAGGCGGCUACCUGGUCUGCAACUGACGCUGAGACUCGAAAGCAUGGGUAGCGAACAGGAUUAGAUACCCUGGUAG